rnacentral:lncRNA from 1 species
CUGUUUCCAUGUCCUGUUCACUGAGACUGGCUUCUUUAACCUAAGUUGGCCAGCCUUUCCCCGCUGGUGCCAAACGAGCCUCUAAAAAUGAUGGGAUUUCCAGGCAGAACAGCCCAGGAGACACUAGACUGACUUUUGGCACGAAAAGCAGGUUUGCAGGGAAUCAGACGACAGCGUCCUGAGAUUCGUUUUCCAGACGGUGGCAGCUGGUGCACGAUCGGCUCCUGUAGACAGCUUCACAGAGCGGGCCUGAGACUGCAGGCCAAGGAGAGUGUCCAUGGGAGAAAUUCCUGUUUUGUCUCUUCAAGAACUGCCUGCAGGAGUGGAGAUGGUGUUCCUACUGCAGAUGACUGUUCUCAGGAUGAGCGAAGUCACCAAAUCACCUAAAUUCCUGCUUGUCUGAGAUGACAGUCCCACACAAGACUCUGAUCUCAUGUGUUGUGCAUGUCGGCCAAGAUCGUAGCAGCUCAUGCAGAGCCAGCCAGCCCAGUCCUGUGGGAAGGGCUCAGCCCACUGUGGGUGGGGCCAUCCCCGAGCAGGUAGUCCUCGGAGAAAUAAAAAGGAUAGCUGACUAUGAGACUAGAAACAAGCCAAUUGGUAGUGUUCCUCCAUGGCCUCCGCUUCAGUCUGUCUUCAGGUUCCUGUUUGGGUCCCUUGGUGACAGACUGUGGUUAGGGCUUGUAAGUCUUAAUAAACCCUUUCAUCCAUCCCUAA